rnacentral:misc_RNA from 1 species
CAACCCUCAAGCCCCAGCGGCUUGGUGUUGGGGACCGGCCGCAAGGCCGCCCCCUAAAUGCAGUGGCGACCUCGCCGCAGCCUCCCCUGCGUAGUAGCACAACCUCGCACCGGAGCGCGGAGACGGUCACGCCGUAAAACGCCCAACUUUCUUAG